rnacentral:rRNA from 1 species
AUGUGCAAUCUGCUUGCGGGCACAUGCGACGUGCUUCCCCUACUAAGUGGUGGUUUGAAUUUUGGCAAAAGCGGCUACGCAAUCCUAACCAGUGCAGACUGCACCACAGAGCAGCAACCUUUGUUGUCGUCAGCAGGCUACUCGACCUUCUUCAAAGUGCUAAUCCUCGGCAUGGUGUAUGAUGGGCUCGAUCCCAACCUGUACACGUUCUCAUCCAGAGAGGCCAGAUGGAGCAAGCCUACAAAAAUAGCUUUUGGAACCUAUGGGCAGAUUGGUGAUUGUAGACAUCCUGAUGCUGUCGUGUCUCGCGGCAAGGUGCAUUGGAGGGUCGGGUCUUGGUCAGUCGACGUGGACACUGAGACGAAUCACAUCUCUCGUAUAAUGAUCACGCGCUCGUAUUCCCAAAUGUACGACGAGCCACAGCUCACGGCCACCGCUAAUGGGACGCUCUCAGUGUUAUUGCUAUCGAGGCCGGGUCUCAGGCUUGACAUCUACACACGACAAUAUCAGAAAAAGAGUUACAAUGGUGGUACUUCCAAGUGGCUUAGUGCCGGCACUAUCACAUUGAAACCACCUGGGCGUAUGGAAAGAAGACCAAGGCCAAUAUUCUUGAGCGUGUUAGGAGAGAAAAGUGGCACGAUGCUACUCAAGGAUAGCCAGAAGCAAAUUUAUAUGGCUGACCGUGAGACAGGAGUGAUGGAGGAGUUGACUGACUGUUUGGAUGGGCUUAACCGUCGGAAGAUCAUAUUGUUGGAGAUGGACUGGUCUGCGUUAUUCAUUUCACGACUUUCUAGGUGGUAG